CGAGUCACACAUCCUUCCCUUCCCAGCCCCCCUCAUCUCCUGCACAAUGUAUUUUUAUUCUUUCGGAAUAAUCCGACGACUUUGUCGGAGCACAAAUUCACCCUUCCAACAGCGAAAUGGUCUCCCCCAACCCUUUCCUUGCCGCGUGAGAGCCCCGACGGCACCACAGUGUGCAGCCCGCAGCGCUCCGACGGCGGCCGCCUCAACCCCUUGUGAUUAUAUAACAGUUCUCAAGAGGAAGCUGCUAACAAGCCCAUCUGAUAUUUUGUGCCAGCUGUUUCAGUGGAGGCGUGUUGGACUGGAGUGAACUCCGCCUUCUUUGACAAGCAAAGGUUGCUUCGCUUCUGUGGCGCAGUUACUUCAGUUGAUGCAGUACAAUCUGGAAAGUACAUUUACAUGGAAAACCAAAGUAUUGCACUUUGACUACAGUUUUUAUAUCAGUAGAAAGGACAUUGGUAUUGCCAGUAGAAAGAAAAGUGAACUUUGACUGUGAGUGUUGGUCAGAAAAAUGUCAGAGGAAGAGCAUAAGGACAGCAAUCUGCAGUUGGACCAAAGGUUGUUCCAAGACUUUGUAUCUGAUAGCAGUCAGCAGAAUAUCCUUAUGGACAAGUGUAAGAAGCAGGGCAAGUAUAGAAUUAUUCUUUCUGCUGGUAUACUUUCCCAGCUUCUGACAGUCAGCAGUUUUGGGACUCCCUGUGCCGAAGUUGCAUCUUAACCAUUGUUUUUAUGAACCACUGAGUGCGGAAGCAACAAUAGGAACAAUGGAUCACUGUUCAGCAUCAGUGGCAACUGCGCUUAGAAAUAAGUAACAGUGCCACUUCAAAAUGCUUGACAUGGACAACAGAAAGAGAAGAGCCAGGAAAUUAUAGCAGCACUAAAGCCACACCCAUGGCCAGAGGCAACAUCUCGCAGCUCCUCCAAGUUGUGAACUCCUUGGGAGCUGAGAAUCCCUACCAUGCAGAGAGUGAAGCAUUUGAAAAGUGACAGAGCCUGAAGAAAAAGAGAAUUCAAAAUCUGGUGCUGAAUUUUCUCCUGGACCAGUCUGUUCUUCUGUAUCCAUGAACAAGUAGGUUCCUGCAGGAGUAGUUUAGAGGCCUCACCAUUAGCCAGUGUCUCUGCACGGUGAAGCGACUCGUGCUAAGAUCUUACCUAUGACCAACUCCUGUGUGAAGAGAUUAAGGAUCCUGACCUGUUUCUAGAACUCUUAUUAAAAACAAGAAUUGCAAGAAAGGCACUAGUGAUUCCUGCCUUCUGUACACAGUUCUACUGCAGUGCAUGUCUUCCUCCACAUGAGGACAAUCUUCUAAGAAUGGUGGUGAAACAUAAAGAAUUGUAACCUGUUUCAGAGAUUUUCUCUAUGAUGAACUGUUAAAAGAGGUGAGGUACCCAGAAAUAAAGUGGGAAAAAAGGAAGCAACUGACCAAUAAUCUACCUAGAAAGUAA